rnacentral:ncRNA from 1 species
GUACAUACGCUGAAGAGAAGGAGUACAUGUUAUCGGAAAUACAGAGAGCUUUUGGAUGGUGUAAGAAAGCAUGAGGAUACAUGGAAGGUAGUCUUGGAGUUGAUAUUCUGAAAAGUGCAGUAGGAAUAUUCGGGUUGGCACAUCGUUAUUCGUGCUGUAGAGGCAUAUAAAAGUAUGCGAAGUAAGGUGGUACCACGUUCAUCACGUCCUUAUA